GGCUCAGUAACACGUAGUCAAUCUGCCCUAUGGACGUGGAUAACCUCGGGAAACUGAGAAUAAUCCGCGAUAGAUCAUAAUGCCUGGAACGGUUUAUGGUCCAAAUGAUUCGUCGCCAUAGGAUGGGACUGCGGCCUAUCAGCUUGUUGGUGAGGUAAUGGCCCACCAAGGCUAUUACAGGUACGGGCUCUGAGAGGAGAAGCCCGGAGAUGGGUACUGAGAUACGGACCCAGGCCCUAUGGGGCGCAGCAGGCGAGAAACCUUUGCAAUGUGCGCAAGCACGACAAGGUUAAUCCGAGUGUUUCCUGCUAAAGGAAUCUUUUGUUAGUUCUAAAACCACUGAUGAAUAAGGGGUGGGCAAGUUCUGGUGUCAGCCGCCGCGGUAAAACCAGCACCUCAAGUGGUCAGGAGGAUUAUUGGGCCUAAAGCAUCCGUAGCCGGUUCUGUAAGUUUCCGGUUAAAUCCACUAGCUCAACUAAUGGGCUGCCGGAAAUACUGCAGAACUAGGGAGUGGGAGAGGUAGACGGUACUCGGGAGGAAGGGGUAAAAUCCUUUGAUCUCUUGAUGACCACCUGUGGCGAAGGCGGUCUACCANAACACGUUCGACGGUGAGGGAUGAAAGCUGGGGGAGCAAACCGGAUUAGAUACCCGGGUAGUCCCAGCUGUAAACGAUGCAGACUCGGUGAUGCACUGGCUUUUGGCCAGUGCAGUGCCGCAGGGAAGCCGUUAAGUUUGCCGCCUGGGAAGUACGUACGCAAGUAUGAAACUUAAAGGAAUUGGCGGGGGAGCACCACAAGGGGUGAAGCCUGCGGUUCAAUUGGAUUCAACGCCGGAAAGGGCGAAUUCGCGGCCGCUAAAUUCAAUUCGCC
rnacentral:rRNA from 1 species